GUGGAUGUGGUGCGCGGUGCACGGCUGCUGCUACAUAUGAUACCUGUCUACCUAAAUCAGUUAGCGGGUUCGACUCCCGACAUCCACA